ensembl:lncRNA
CACAGGUGUGGACCCCGCUGGUCACGUGACGCCGCGCGGCCAGGGGAGCGGUUGCCCUGUCCUGAGGGCUUUGCUGUCCUGAGGGCUUUGCUGUCCUGAGGGCUUUCCUGCCCUGCAAAAGUGCGGGCUCAGACCCCCUCUUCCUUGGGUAGUGCGCUGGAGCCCGAAUAGAUUUUCAUAAGAAAGUACCAUUUGGGGCUUGGGGAGGUGUAAAACUCGCCUAAUUCCUUUUCUUAAGAAAACCUACCCCCUCAGCUUUGUGAGACUUCUGGUGAUGUUUAAAUCAGGAUUUUAGAAGGGAUUUUAGGAGGUAUGUCUGCAACCAGUGUCUACAUUCAAAUGACAAAGGCAGGGAUCGAACUCGGGUCCUUGAGCUUGCGAGGCAGGCAGCGGAACCACUGAGCUAAAUCCCCGGCCCAUUUAUCUCUCUAUUCUUAUCAGAAAUUCUACUGUUAUGCAUGUGAUUUUCAUGUGGAGUUUGGAAGGAGAAGCAUUCCUGGAGACUUCUGUUGCAGAAGGGAGGGAUGGUUUCUCCCUGGAGCCUGCACUUUUGAGAAGUCCAUUCAUGCUUUUGCCUCGAGUGCUUAAACCUUGGACAUACCGGCCUCCAGAACUGUGAGAAAUAAAUGGCUAUUGUUUAGG